rnacentral:rRNA from 1 species
GACGAACGCUGGCGGCGUGCUUAACACAUGCAAGUCGAGCGGAAAGGCCACUUCGGUGGUACUCGAGCGGCGAACGGGUGAGUAACACGUGAGUAAUCUGCCCCUGGCUUUGGGAUAGCCACCGGAAACGGUGAUUAAUACCGGAUAUGACCACGUCUCGCAUGGGGUGUGGUGGAAAGUUUUUCGGCCAGGGAUGUGCUCGCGGCCUAUCAGCUUGAUGGUGAGGUAAUGGCUCACCAUGGCUUCGACGGGUAGCCGGCCUGAGAGGGUGACCGGUCACACUGGGACUGAGACACGGCCCAGACUCCUACGGGAGGCAGCAGUGGGGAAUAUUGGACAAUGGGCGGAAGCCUGAUCCAGCAACGCCGCGUGAGGGAUGACGGCCUUCGGGUUGUAAACCUCUUUCAGUACCGACGAAGCGCAAGUGACGGUUGGUACAGAAGAAGCACCGGCCGACUACGUGCCAGCCGCCGCCGUAACAC